UCAAUCAAAAUCCAAUAUCCAUUCCAAGUAUGUCGGUUGAAGGCACAUGUUAGAGUGGAAACAACGCGUAAUGAAAUUACAAUACCAUCCUCUUCUUCUUCUUCUUUUCUGAAACUCUGUUCCCAUCAAACAUUUCAAAUCCAUAAAAUACCCAAAUCAAUUUCAUGGCAUAAAACCUAGAAUCGAUAAACAAAAACACUACCUUUAAGAAAAUUAAUAUUUAUAGAAAAUCUCAAACCUGGCAAAUCUUGGAGGGUUGAGGGCUCGUUCUUCGUUGAAGCAACCUUCCCUUGAUUUGAACGACGACCACGAGGACUGUAGACCUUGGCGUCGUAGAAUCACCAUGGUUUUUUCCUGGGCUUCUGCCUUCAGGAUCACACUUCUUCUUCUCCUUCUUGAUGCUGUUAUUGCGGCGUGUUUCACUCUUCCUAUUGAGAAGAUGAUGAAGGACUUCUUAAUAUGGGUUGAUCGUGAUAUUGGCCGAUGGGGUCCACUUGUUUUCGGUUGGAGCGGCGCUAAACUGCUAGAGUGUAGCGGAAUUUGAUUGGAACAGGUUUCUAUUGUUCUGCUAUUCGCUAUUUUAGUACAUUGUGUCUUCGAAUAGUUACUAUUGUGGUGCUCUGGCUCUCUAGCAAAGCGGAAUUUGAACAAAUUGCUAUUUUCCGCGAUCCGCAAUUUACAACAUUGGAUGAAGUCCCUUUGUCAUAGGUGUUGAUGCUGGAUGUUUGAAGAUUGAGAAUGAGUAUGGACCUGUGGAAUGGGAGAUUGGUGCUCCUGGAAAGGCUUACACAAGUUGGGUUGCUCAAAUGGCGGUAGGUCUAGACACCGGCGUACCUUGGGAUAUGUGCAAGCAAGAAGACGCCCCUGAUCCCGUUAUUGACACUUGCAAUGGAUAUUAUUGUGAAAACUUCACUCCCAAUGAGAACAAUAAACCCAAAAUGUGGACCGAGAAUUGGUCCGGAUGGUACACUGAUUUUGGUAGCGGUAUAUCUCAUACAACUCACCACUCCUUUCUCUCUCAUAAUUCCUCUCUCUCCUCCGACAAUUACCCGCCACCAUGACCGUCAUGAUGUCCGCUCCCAUUGACGGCUUUGUUAUCGUGGUGGAUCCGAACUAGGGUGUGAUGUAUUUUCUUUUGUGUAGCAGCAAGAGGAUGAGGAGGUGCUCGUGCCACAUGCUGAUUUGCCUGAGAACAACCACCAGCCCAUGGAAGGUACUUAUUGUUUUAUGGUUCUUUUGAUCCGUUUGGAAAUUCUCUUAUUUUUAGGAACUGUGUUUUACUGUUUUCUCAGCUUUUGUUUCAUGUAAUUGAAUUGCUUGUAAAGUGGAUUAUGCGUUAUUGUUUGAUUUAAAAAAGUAAUAUAGAGGGGAGGCUGUGGGAAUUUGACUUAAAAGUUGUAAUUUGUGGGUUUCAUGCUAUCACAUUUUGAAUGAAGAAAAAAUUCUGCAGUGAAUGUGCUGUUUGGAUCAGUUUUUACCCACAAUCAAAUUGUCAGCUAAAGAUUAUACAGAAUAAUCUAAAGCCUAAAUUAAUGUCCAGUUACUGAUUACUUUAGAUUUUGGAUUUAUGGAAUUUUAAUGUAGUUAUUGACUGUGCAAUUCCAAAAGUUUAUUUGAUUUUUACAAUUGUAGGUUUGGAUCAGUUACUGAUUACUUUAGAUGUUUGAUUUAUGGAAUCAAGA